CCCCUCUCACAAUUAUACCUGGAGAGUUUUCAGUACUCUAUCAGUCUCAGCUAUGAGAGGGAGAGUCAAACAGAGACAUACCCAUUCCAUUCCUGGUUUGAGCAGUGGCUAGUGAGUGGAAGGCAAUCUGCUAGAAGU